rnacentral:rRNA from 1 species
AUGGGGGCCAUAGACCUUGGGAACCCGCUCCUCAACCGCACCGUCGACGGCUUCCUCAAGAUCGGCGCCGCAUGGAGUAUGGAGUGGAAAGGGCCAGUGGUGACUGUGACUCGUCCAGAAUGGGGCGUGGGAGAAGCUGCCGGCCGGCGGAUCUGUGUGAAAGCCACCAUUGAGAGGAACAAAAAGGCCAACCAUGACACAUCCAACUCUAGCACGGUUGCAGAAGUCAAUGCCCACUUUGCUAUCUUAGGAGAACCUGGUGUGCUAUAUGGGGAAGCAAAGCAGCAACCCACAACUCAACUUGUGACUCCAGAUGAAGGCACCACGACGCACCAUGAUUAUCCAUUGGAAGGGCUUCCGAGUUUGCACCCCGCCGUCCGGACGGAGCAAGGAGGGGUCAUCGUCCACACCGUGGAGUUGGUUGAGCCUUGA